CCCGUGUGCCUGCACAAUCUUCAGCCACGUGGUGAAGCACCAAGCUCCAGCAAUUUAGAUUCCCAUAUGGCCAUUUGGUUGUUACUGCAUGAAGGAUAUUGGCUGUGGAAUGAAGUUAACUGGUUGAAAUCUUAUCUGAAAAAUUGAGAAAUAUUUCAAAUGCACAGUGCUCACACUUGGUGUGUGCAUGAGUGAGUGCCCUCGGUGGACAAGUCUCCAGGUCCCCAGCCCAGAUGAAAAGGUCUGGUGGGGUUUGCAGUUGGAGAGGAGACUUACGAGCCCCCGCUUCCCCAG